rnacentral:rRNA from 1 species
UACGUAGGUGGCAAGCGUUGUCCGGAUUUACUGGGCGUAAAGAGCGCGCAGGCGGUCGUCUAAGUCGAAUGUGAAAGCCCCCGGCUCAACUGGGGAGGGUCAUUCGAUACUGUUCGACUCGAAGGCAGGAGAGGGAAGUGGAAUUCCGGGUGUAGUGGUGAAAUGCGUAGAUAUCCGGAGGAACACCAGUGGCGAAGGCGACUUUCUGGCCUGUUCUUGACGCUGAGGCGCGAAAGCUAGGGGAGCAAACGGG